AACGUAGGACACAAGCGUUAUCCGGAGUUACUGGGCGUAAAGGGCGCGUAGGCGGGUGGUCAAGUCAGAGGUGAAAUCUUUCGGCUCAACCGGAAAAGUGCCCCUGAUACUGGUCACCUCGAGGGAGGUAGGGGCAUGUGGAACUUCCGGUGGAGCGGUGAAAUGCGUAGAUAUCGUCAAGAACACCGAUAGUGAAGACAGCUUACCAAGCUUCAACUGACGCUGAGGCACGAAAGUGUGGGGAUCAAACAGG
rnacentral:rRNA from 1 species